rnacentral:lncRNA from 1 species
CUCCCCUCCCUCUUACCACUUCGUUCCAGCUUCUCAUCCUGAGCUACAGACAUUUUAAAUCUAGAUCGGAAGAGCAAGGCGUUAACCAAGGCCAAAUGGUUGAGCCAACAAUUCAUCCCUUCAGCAAGCGUUUAUCGAGCACUUACUGUGUAGCAAGCCCUGUGCCAGGUCUUGGGCAGGAGUAUCACAGGACCAUUGAGGCCUCUACUUGUGACUGGAGACAAACGGAGUUAUGUUUUCACAUGCCAUAGCUGGCUCACAGGCAAGGUCCAUGAAGUAUGCUGCUGGGAUUUCAGUUGGGAUUGCAUUGAAUCUAUAUAGCAGUUUUGGAAGUAUGGCCAUUUUCACUAUGUUGAUCCUUCCUACCCAGGAGCAAGGCUGCAGGCUGCUGGGACCCAUGAACAUAAGGAGUGAGGAGGAGGCAAGGAGAGGCAACUUGAGAUGUGUUCCCAGAUCUCUGGAUCCAACAGCCUUGGCCUUGAGCCUAGUGUAGUGUGAGGAGUCCAGUCCUCUCUCAGUUCCUCCAGCCGCCCUGAGCCCUAAGUUUGAGUGCUUCUGCUUGCUGCCUUCCCAUCUACCAGCAAAAAGACAAUGUAGAGUGCCGGGGAUUUAGCUCAG